AUGCGCCGCAUUGCUUUCCGGCGUAACGCGAAUACCUGAACGUAUUGUUCGGAUAUUUGCAUUACGCGAAAGUGGGAGAAAGCCCUGCCGUGAAUCGGAAAUAAAAGACGUGACUACCGGGACCGCGAAGAUCCAGGGGGGUUCUUUUGUAGGAUCGACAUAUCGAUUCCACUCGUCGCACGCGGAGAACGCGUGACUACGACGAGGGGAGAUGAGGGGGAGGGAAACUCUAAGUUUCAAAAAGUGUGCACGCACACGAGCGCGCGCGCGCGCGCACACACGCACGUGAUAAGUACGUCGGCAUCAGCAUGAGGAAUUCUGACUAAAGCAAAUUUUGCAGAAAUGAAAAACUCGGGUCAUCUUCAUCGACCGAACAUUGUUGCAGCAUUAUUGCGAUUAAUUUUUUUAUAAAUCAAACCCGUUCUCUUAACACGCCGUGAUGGAGUGCCCUCGUGACUGCUCGACUGCGCGGAGAGAUUCAGGUCGUUCCGCGGUAUAGACACAACAUAGUCGCAUUAACGAUAUCACAUGACUUUUCUCUUGCUUGCAAAGUUGAUUUUCAGCCUGCAAUUUGCUGCCCCGAGGCAUCAAAUGUGUUCCACUGGCAUAUUUUAUCAGCAAAGAUUUAACAUUAACAGAGAUAUUUAAUAUUUCAUGCAGCAAUUUUUUCCGCUACACCAUGCAUCCUGAUGUAAGCGACUUGGUAGUUACAGUUUUUCUUUGUUUUGUAAAUAAAUAACUUAUAUAAAUGUUUUUGCACAAUAUGGUUUGUAGAAAAUAUCAAUCGUGUUGCAGUAUGAUGCAUUAUACAUGUAAGUAACGUUUCAAGAAAUUAUGGAAAUACAAAUUUGUAAUGCGAACGACGCAAAUACGCUUUGUGUUCGUAGAAUAUGCACAUGAGUUUCUUAUUUACAAAAAUACUGCGAAAUGUCCAGUUCGUGAUUCAUCUCUGGAAAAUCCUGCUAACGCUUGUUUAAAAAUAUAAUCGCAUUUGUUUGAUUAAAAACAGAGAGGAAAAGAAACAACUGUAUCUGCAUCUGCACAGUCGAUUGGUUUAUUCGCGAAACGGGGAUUACACAUGAUUUGUAAUAUAUACUGUACAUGCAUGUGUAUAUGUUAUAAAUAUGCACGCGAAGUCGUAAACAAAAUAUUUGUCAGUGCCACGUGCAUGCUAAUUAUGAUCAAUUUUAACCUGUGAUGGCGCACACAAUGAACGUCAUCGGCUUGAAAUUGAAAUUAAAAUAAAAAUUGGUAUACAUCUUAUUUGCAACAAAUUAUCGGUUGUCGAUGGAUAUAAAAACGAUGAGCAUGAGUAGACCAGAUCGAGAGCAAAGUGCGUGCCAAAUGCCGAAGAAAUUUCGACAACUCAACAAGAGACUCUUCCUAAUUUUUCCACUUUGGACAUAUUUUCAUAAAAAUGUAGCAAAAUAACGCAAAACAAGGUUUCUGUAAUGCAUCUAUUUAUUCUGAGGGAAGCUCCUCGGCGCCGGGAAUAUUCCCCUUGGGGUAGUCGGGAUUUAUCUCCGACGUCGGCGACCGUUGGACGGACACGAGAACGCAGAAACCAUCGAUGGUGAACCUCUUUGCACGCGGUAUCGAUCUUUUCCAGUCGUGUCUGAAACCGCAGACUCAGCGCGUGUCAACAGAUCAAACACCAAAUUUAUCGCGAUGCGUUAUCUGGUCGUGCUGAGCAUGUGCUACACAUACAGCUGGCAUUCUCAACGACACUCAAAAACACUUGGCGCUUGGAGUGAUGCAAUUCCUAAGCAACGGCAACAGCACU